GAUGAACGCUGGCGGCGUGCCUAAUACAUGCAAGUCGAGCGAACAGACGAGGAGCUUGCUCCUCUGACGUUAGCGGCGGACGGGUGAGUAACACGUGGAUAACCUACCUAUAAGACUGGGAUAACUUCGGGAAACCGGAGCUAAUACCGGAUAAUAUAUUGAACCGCAUGGUUCAAUAGUGAAAGACGGUUUUGCUGUCACUUAUAGAUGGAUCCGCGCCGCAUUAGCUAGUUGGUAAGGUAACGGCUUACCAAGGCGACGAUGCGUAGCCGACCUGAGAGGGUGAUCGGCCACACUGGAACUGAGACUCGGUCCAGACUCCUACGGGAGGCAGCAGUAGGGAAUCUUCCGCAAUGGGCGAAAGCCUGACGGGGCAACGCCGCGUGAGUGAUGAAGGUCUUCGGAUCGUAAAACUCUGUUAUUAGGGAAGAACAAAUGUGUAAGUAACUAUGUACGUCUUGACGGUACCUAAUCAGAAAGCCACGGCUAACUACGUGCCAGCCGCCGCGGUAA
rnacentral:rRNA from 1 species